rfam:Glycine max cultivar Williams 82 chromosome 15, whole genome shotgun sequence.
UUCUUAUCAGAUGAUUACGGUCAUGUCUCAUAUUUUGAUUGGAUAUCAACUCAUGGAAGAUGAAAUGCAUUGUUAUUUUCAUUGAUGAAUCAUAACAUGACACAUGACAAUCAUCAUCC